rnacentral:rRNA from 1 species
CAGAGGUUACUGCUAUCGAGAUUCGACUAAGCCAUGCGAGUUGAAUGUUCUUCGUGAACAUGGCGGACUGCUCAGUAACACGUGGACAACCUACCCUUGGGUCCGGCAUAAUCCUGGGAAACUGGGAAUAAUUCCGGAUAGGUCACCGAUGCUGGAAUGCGCGGUGGCCGAAAGCUCCGGCGCCCGAGGAUGGGUCUGCGGCCUAUCAGGGUUGUAGUGGGUGUAACGUACCUACUAGCCUACGACGGGUACGGGUUGUGAGAGCAAGAGCCCGGAGAUGGAUUCUGAGACACGAAUCCAGGCCCUACGGGGUGCAGCAGGCGCGAAAACUUUACAAUGCGGGAAACCGUGAUAAGGGGAUCUCGAGUGCCAGCAUAUAAUGUUGGCUGUCCAGAUGCCUAAAAAGCAUCUGUUAGCAAGGGCCGGGCAAGACCGGUGCCAGCCGCCGCGGUAACACCGGCGGCCCGAGUGGUAACCGCUAUUAUUGGGUCUAAAGGGUCUGUAGCCGGCCAGGUAAGUCCCUUGGGAAAUCUGGCAGCUCAACUGUCAGGCUGCUAGGGGAUACUGUUUGGCUUGGGACCGGGAGAGGUGAGAGGUACCUUGGGGGUAGGGGUGAAAUCUUGUGAUCCUCGAGGGACCACCAGUGGCGAAGGCGUCUCACCAGAACGGGUCCGACGGUAAGGGACGAAAGCUAGGGGCACGAACCGGAUUAGAUACCCGGGUAGUCCUAGCCGUAAACGAUGCUCGCUAGGUGUCAGUCACGGUGCGACCGUGAUUGGUGCCGUAGGGAAGCCGUGAAGCGAGCCACCUGGGAAGUAUGGCCGCAAGGCUGAAACUUAAAGGAAUUGGCGGGRGMRCACWWCWWCGGGUGGAGCCUGCGGUUUAAUG